rnacentral:lncRNA from 1 species
GGUUUACUAUUAUUUAUUUUCUUUUCAUGUAGUUCUCUACUACAUUAUUUUUCUGACGUGCCAUUCUAAUUGUGAAAUGAAAUUCAUCCGCUUUCAGAUUUUUCAUCUAAUUUAUGUUUCUGUAUCUUUUCCCGUGUAAAUUUAGAACUGUGCAAUGUAUUAUUUAAUCAAACUAGGCUAUACAAAUUGGACCGAUCCAUUUAGAAUAGGUUUGACUCCAAGUAAUAUACUUUAGAAACCUAGUCCAGUCCAGUCCAUUGCUUUCUGGCCCAACUGUGUGAUUUUAUAAUGCUAGUUGGUAUGUGAAUUUCUAGCCACUGCCUUAACAUUUAUUUGCCUCCAAAUUUUGAUUGAUUCCAUGUCUUAGUAAUGGGAGAGAUCGUAAGAACUAUUUUUUCGAGUUAAUCAAAUAGAGUUGUCUUGCAUUUUAAUAAUUCUUUAUUUAUCCAUCAUUUGUUGCAAGUCGCGAUAAAAAGAAAAGGGAAAAAAGAGAAGUCAUCUCUUUAGAUAUUUUGAAUUAUCUAAUUCAAAUAUUUCACAACGUCCAACACAAACUUUCAAACGUAAAACGAAAUUGGUG